GCUGUGGGGCGCCGGGGUUCGGCCGCGCCCCCCCCGGGACCCGGCGGCGGGACAGGACAGGCCGGGCCGGGGUGGGGAGAGCCGGGAGCCCCCGCCGGGCACCUCGCCGAGGCCGACUGAGGUGAUGCGCUGCCCGCGGGGAGGGGCCGGAGCCGCCGGCGGCCCUUAUCCAUCCGCGCAGGCCGGCCUGGGGCCUCCGAUAGGGGCCGGCGGCGGGGUCGCUCCGUGAGGCGGGGAGGGGGAGAAGGCCGUGAAGCGCCGGGGAAGGGCCCCCCGCUGUCCCCGAGCCCCGCCGAGCGUGGGGCGGGAAGGGGAUGAAGCGGGGGCAGGAGCCGGGGCCCGGCAAGCCCCGGCAAGCCGCCCGGGGGCCGGGCGGGCCGCGGUGGCGGUGAGUCAUCCCCGCUUCCCCCGCGGGUCUGGGGCAGGGGUGCGCGGAGCCUUCCCCCGCCGCCGGCCGCACCCCCCGCACGGCUCCGGCACCAUCCUGCCCCCGCCGGAGCUGGCGAAGGGACGUUAACCCUUGGGGUCCGUCACGCCCCCGGGGUUACCGACACCCGCCCGGCCAAACCAACGCGCAGAAACGGGGACAAAGGAAUUAAUAAAUUAACUUUCUCCAUGGGAGUCUCCGAACGACCGCAUUCACGCGAAAAAUGUCUUCUGAGCCGCCAGCUCGCUACUUGGGUCUCUGACACGAGCCUCAGGACUUCUUAUUCAGCAUUUUUAGACACCUGCAAGCGAGCUUGUUCUUAGAAGAGGACUCUGGAAAAGGAGCAGAGUUGUGGACGUCCCCGGGCUGGGGGUGCGUGCAGCCGAGUGCGAAAGGCCCAGGUGAAGCUGCUUCUCGCGGACGGGGAAAAUCCCAGAGUU